rnacentral:lncRNA from 1 species
GAGCCCCGCCCCGCCCUGAGACCGCAGGCGUGCGCAGGUGGCCGGCCGGCGCGGCAGGUACGGUGGUGGGAGCAGGCGUGGAGGUUAGGGGCGUUCGUCCUGCCUCGAGUGGGCAGGUGUCCCGGCUCAAGGCAGGCCCAGAGGGACCGCCGAGAUCAUCCAGUGCAACCCCUGCACUUACCAAGGAGAAAGUCCAUGCAGGCAUUUUCUCUGGAGUGUGAACCUCGCACGGGACCUGCCAGGGGAGGCAUGUGUGUACACCUACGCAUGCUGUCUCCUGGAGCUUCAAGAUGCUGUCUCUUGGCGUUGGACUCAGGCCUCCCUCCCGUUGCUGAAGCAGAAUCAAGAAACCUCAGGUCAAGGAGCUGGAGCCCUUCUGCUCUGUCUGUGCCAGGUGCUGUUGAACAUGACAGAUGUGAGCUGAGCCCACUGGCGCCCAGGGGUGAGGUGGACUUUCAAGGAAUAACCCUACAAACAUGGGGAUGUCCUCGCUGGGAAUGGAAUUCUGAACCCAGGAAGAGAAGAGGGGGUCAUGAGACAAAAAGAAGGUCACUGAAAAAGAAGGACAUAGGGACAGAGGCUAUAGAGAGGCUUGGCUGUGACAGAUUGUCAGGGAGAAGGGGAGAGACUUUUGUUUUGAUGUUGUUUUCAAACAACAGCAGUUACCUGGAAAGAAACCAACCACUACCAACUAUAGCCUAAAUAUAAAGUGACUGAGGAAGCAUAAGAAAUGUGUCUCAAGCGAUGCAAAGCUGUGCGUGUAUCAACAUGAGCAAACUAAUUCAGAUGGGCAUGCAGAACACAAAUGGGAGGGGUGAUGGGGUUGACUGUAGUUAUUCUUUGCUUUUUGUUUCUUGCCUGAUGAAAAAUUUGCAAUUUUUGCACUGUCACAGAGCACUCAAAACUGUGAUUAUGUUUCACAAUUUCG